rnacentral:lncRNA from 10 species
AAACUCUGACUGUCCAGGGAGGAGAGGAUGCCUCGUUUUUCUUAUAAACAGACAUUGGCACCAAGAUCAAAAAGCCAGAAAUUUUCUGCAGAGGAAGUGGCCCAUAUGCAAAUGAAAUGAUUUGGACCUCACCAGGAAUGAAAUAUUCACCAUCUUCUCUUUCAUAAUUGACGAUGAUGCUUCUGAUGGUGAUUUCUAUUUACAUACACAGGAUGGCUGAAUCUUCUCAUAGAAAGUCUACUCUUUGAAUGCUUCUAUAAUUGGACUGUCUAAGAACCUAAUUCAUCCUUCCCUGUGGGGGCCCCAAAAGUUUUUACCUCUAACCCCUUGACCCAAUUUGCCAAAAGGUAAGACUCAAAUUUAUGAAGGAAAUCCCUCUUCUCCACCUCUAGGAAGAAACACUUGAAGAUGUCUAAGCCUGCCCACUAUACAAUCACAUUCAUUCAGCAUCCACUAUAUGCACAACCUUUUGCUGAAUCUUCUUUUAAAAAAUGAACCCAAAUAGAGAUAUUGAGAAAACAAGGAUGAAUAAUACAUGACAUUAUACAUUUUAAAACAUUACCUAAAAUCAAAUGAAAGAGUAACAAUUGCUAUCUGUUAACCGGUUGGAUGGUGAGCUGGUUUUUAGCACGACAUCCCUGGUGCAAUAAAGCUAAGUUUUGUAAAUUAAAAAUCCUUUAAAAUUAGAUUCUGUUUUUACAGGGCUGGAGAGACCAACUUACAGAACUUUAACCAUGAAGUUUCAUGGCUCUUGUCUUACUUUUCUAGUUCUAUCCAGUAGAAAAUAACAGUAUGAAAAAUGGGACACCAUGCUGCAUUUCAAAUAGCCUUCUGCUAAUUAGAAAAUUACCCUGUAUCUUCAUAAGGGCUGCCAGCAUUGUUUUAAUAUGGCUCUGCUAAUAUACCGAAGGCCCUAAUUUAAAAAUCUUGUAUCUUGGCUGCUAAAAUCACUGCAGGCUGAAUCUUGUCAUACAGGAGGAGAUUUUGUUUCUCAGUCCAGGGCAUGGAGCAUGAUUGGUGUCAGUUUUACACGCCUGGAAUGUGUGUGUGUUUAGAGGGGUGGGAGGGUGGAGAGACAAAACAAUUGUCUUUAAAUGCCUUCUUCUUAGCACACCUUAGCUGUGAUCCCAGAUCGGAACCCAGUUCUCUUGAGAAUGAAGGCUGCUUUGACAUGUUAGUAAGGAAAAAAUCAAGUAACUCAAAAAUUUCUCUUACAGGAUUUAGUUAAAAUAUAUAUUUAUGUGAGAUUUAAACAAAGUAAUUUCUGCUGUAUGUUUACAAUUGAUAUGUUUGUCUGUUAAAAUUUUUUUUGCUGUUUAAAUAAAAUCUCUUAAUAAGAAUGAGCAAA